rnacentral:rRNA from 1 species
GCGGUGGAGCAUGUGGUUUAAUUCGAAGCAACGCGAAGAACCUUACCAGGUCUUGACAUCCCCUGACAACCCGAGAGAUCGGGCGUUCCCCCUUCGGGGGACAGGGUGACAGGUGGUGCAUGGUUGUCGUCAGCUCGUGUCGUGAGAUGUUGGGUUAAGUCCCGCAACGAGCGCAACCCUCGACCUUAGUUGCCAGCAUUUAGUUGGGCACUCUAAGGAGACUGCCGGUGUUAAACCGGAGGAAGGUGGGGAUGACGUCAAGUCCUCAUGGCCCUUAUGUCCAGGGCUACACACGUGCUACAAUGGCCGGUACAAAGGGCUGCAAGACCGUGAGGUUGAGCGAAUCCCAGAAAGCCGGUCUCAGUUCGGAUUGGAGUCUGCAACUCGACUCCAUGAAGUUGGAAUCGCUAGUAAUCGCGGGUCAGCAUGCCGCGGUGAAUGCGUUCCCGGGCCUU